rnacentral:lncRNA from 1 species
CACACCCCCACUGACCCCCAUCUCCAGGCAUCUGCCCUGAUGGCCUCCAGGGCCCCUUCUGUGCCUGCAGAGAUGGCGGCCUGCUCUCUAGGUCAGGCCAGGUUCCCGGGAGCCGAGGUCUGGCUGUUAUUCCAGGAGUGCCCAGCCCCAGAGCUGCCACCUCAGGCCCCUGGAAGUUCUGCAGCCUGAGCUGCCGUCCUCAGACCACUCUGCCUCUGAGCGUGCAAGAGGCUCAGGGCCUUUCCAGGCCUCCCAGAGCCAGGCAGCAGCAGGGAGCCAAGAGCAGCCUGUGGCUCCACUGUGGCAAAGGACAGCCUAUUUAGGCUGAGAGUGGGCCUGAGAGAUCACAAAUCUUUUUUCUUUGCCCAGAACUUUUAAUUUAACCCUGACUUAAAAGGGUGUUCAGGGAGCAUCAUGCUAGAAAUCCCAAAUACGAUGAAAGAAUCCCACAACAGAGGUGAACAGAGGCCUGUUCCCAGGUUCAUCCCGGGAAGGUAGCAAGACAGCGCCCCCUUUGCCCAGCUCAGUGAAGGGCCGGGGCAGCUGAUGUGGCCUGCGCACAGGGUGAGGCAGCAAGGGAUUCUCAUGAGGACAAAUUAGAGCACCUGUCACUAUAGCCAGCACUCAAGAAAUGGGAUUAUCAUCAGAGGGAAAAAUGCACAGCCUCACCAGCUAUUAAACAUAUGGAAAUGAUGACAAUUUAAAGCUUAUAAAUAACAUUAGCGGUGGCUUGGAUUUAUUGUUGUGGCCUCCGGAAGAACUUGGGCACAGUGUAACUUCCUGGGGCCCGAGGUUGUUAAUCGGUGAAUUGUUCAUGAAGGACAGUGCUCACU